rnacentral:lncRNA from 1 species
CAGCAGAUUGCUGGUGUAGUUCAAGCUUAGUGUUUGGCACAUGGUUAAACUAAGGCCCAGGGAAGUUAUGAGGCUGGUUCAAGAUUUUUAUGGCUGCUUAGUAAGGCUUCCUGUCCCUCAGCCCACCAAUUCUUGAUUUUUGAAUGAUAACUGGAAUGUUUGAAUUUCAGUGCUUUCUCAGUGAAAUCAUCACUCCGUGUUUUUCUUUCCUUUGAGAAUGGCAGUAAUUCUCUUCAUUCCAAAUGGGGAGGCAGAAGCCCAGAGAGGCUAAUAGAUUUAGUAAAGGUCACACAGCAAAGUACUGACAGUGUUCCCUGGAUGCCAGAUGUCCUGAAUGUCACUUUGGGUUCAGCCACCUCCACCCCACCCCUUGCCACCUGCCUCUGCCUCCCUUAGGACAGGAGUCAAGAUUAGGGGCAUGUUGGGGCCCUUUUCUGGCCCUCCUUCUCAGUUGCUCUAUAACUUGAUGUUCUCUUGAAACAGCCUGAUGAAGAGAUUGUGGGUAGCAGUAGAUGAGUCCCUUCCCCUACCUUAGGAAACUUAUGGUUAUAAGAGAAAACUUAGGAUGUGUGUGUUGCUAGAGGCUCCAAAAGGGAGGCCAGCUUAGAUGAGAGGCUAUAUGCAUGAGAUUCUGGCCUCACAUCCCUACAGUCUCAGCCAUGGCACCUGCCCUCUCUUGAACCCCAAUCAUCUGU